UACGGGGGGAGCAAGCGUUGUUCGGAUUUACUGGGCGUAAAGGGCGCGUAGGCGGCCACCGGAAGUCGGUUGUGAAAUCUCCGGGCUUAACCCGGAAAGGUCAAUCGAUACUGCGGGGCUAGAGUGCAGAAGGGGCAACUGGAAUUCUCGGUGUAGCGGUGAAAUGCGUAGAUAUCGAGAGGAACACCUGCGGCGAAGGCGGGUUGCUGGGCUGACACUGACGCUGAAGCGCGAAAGCUAGGGGAGCGAACGGG
rnacentral:rRNA from 1 species